rnacentral:rRNA from 1 species
GCGGCAGGCUACACAUGCAGUCGAGCGGUAGCACAGAGAGCUUGCUCUCGGGUGACGAGCGGCGGACGGGUGAGUAAUGUCUGGGAAACUGCCUGAUGGAGGGGGAUAACUACUGGAAACGGUAGCUAAUACCGCAUAAUGUCGCAAGACCAAAGUGGGGGACCUUCGGGCCUCAUGCCAUCAGAUGUGCCCAGAUGGGAUUAGCUAGUAGGUGGGGUAACGGCUCACCUAGGCGACGAUCCCUAGCUGGUCUGAGAGGAUGACCAGCCACACUGGAACUGAGACACGGUCCAGACUCCUACGGGAGGCAGCAGUGGGGAAUAUUGCACAAUGGGCGCAAGCCUGAUGCAGCCAUGCCGCGUG